rnacentral:rRNA from 1 species
AUUGAACGCUGGCGGCAGGCCUAACACAUGCAAGUCGAACGGUAGCACAGAGAGCUUGCUCUCGGGUGACGAGUGGCGGACGGGUGAGUAAUGUCUGGGAAACUGCCCGAUGGAGGGGGAUAACUACUGGAAACAGUAGCUAAUACCGCAUAACGUCGCAAGACCAAAGUGGGGGACCUUCGGGCCUCACACCAUCGGAUGUGCCCAGAUGGGAUUAGCUAGUAGGUGGGGUAAUGGCUCACCUAGGCGACGAUCCCUAGCUGGUCUGAGAGGAUGACCAGCCACACUGGAACUGAGACACGGUCCAGACUCCUACGGGAGGCAGCAGUGGGGAAUAUUGCACAAUGGGCGCAAGCCUGAUGCAGCCAUGCCGCGUGUAUGAAGAAGGCCUUCGGGUUGUAAAGUACUUUCAGCGGGGAGGAAGGCGGUGAAGUUAAUAGCUUCACCGAUUGACGUUAUCCGCAGAAGAAGCACCGGCUAACUCCGUGCCAGCCGCCGCCGUAA